CGUAGGUGGCAAGCGUUGUCCGGAUUUAUUGGGCGUAAAAGCGAGUGCAGGCGGCUCGAUAAGUCUGAUGUGAAAAGCCUUCGGCUCAACCGGAGAAUUGCAUCAGAAACUGUCGAGCUUUGAGUACAGAAAGAGGAGAGUGGAACUCCAUGUGUAGCGGUGAAAUGCGUAGAUAUAUGGAAGAACACCGGUGGCGAAGGCGGCUCUCUGGUCUGUUUACUGACGCUGAGGCUCGAAAGCAUGGGUAGCGAAACAGGAUU
rnacentral:rRNA from 1 species